UUCCUACGGGAGGCAGCAGUGGGGAAUAUUGCACAAUGGGCGAAAGCCUGAUGCAGCAACGCCGCGUGAAGGAAGACGGUUUUCGGAUUGUAAACUUCUGUUCUUAGUGAAGGAUAAUGACGGUAACUAAGGAGCAAGCCACGGCUAACUACGUGCCAGCAGCCGCGGUAAUACGUAGGUGGCAAGCGUUGUCCGGAAUUACUGGGCGUAAAGCGCGCGUAGGCUGUUGUGUAAGUUGGGGGUGAAAUCCCACGGCUCAACCGUGGAACAGCCCUUGAUACUGCGCGACUUGAAUCCGGGAGAGG
rnacentral:rRNA from 1 species